rnacentral:tRNA from 1 species
GGGGGUAUAGCUCAGCUGGAAGAGCGCCAGCUUUGCAAGCUGGAUGUCGCCGGUUCGAGCCCGGCUACCUCCA